rnacentral:rRNA from 1 species
AUGUCGUGGGAGCGAAUGACAAGGCCGAAAAGAGCGGGAGGGAUUGGCUUCAGGGAUAUGCACCUUUUCAACCAAGCACUGCUUCUUGCCAAACAGGGGUGGAGAUUAAUUCAAAAUCCAGAUAGCCUCUGCGCGAGGGUCCUAAAGUCGAAAUACUACCCAAACGGAAACCUUCUGGACACAGUUUUUGCUUCAGAUGCAUCCCCGGUUUGGAGAGCCAUUGAAUUUGGGCUCGAGCUCCUAAAGAAAGGCCUCAUCUGGAGGGUAGGAAAUGGAAAGAACAUUCAGAUUCAAAGAGACCAGUGGUUACCAAGACGAGAGGGAUUGAAGACGGCCUCUUUCAUCUGGAGGUCAAGAAUUCGAUGGGUAAAUCAGCUCAUGCACCCGGAUAGGAGAGAAUGGAACGAGGCCUUGAUAAGGCAGCUAUUUUACCCCUUUGAUGCGGAUGAAAUAUGCAAAUUAAACAUCCCGACCUCGGAGGUGGAUGACCGCAUCGCUUGGCACUAUGAAAAGAAUGGAAUUUUUUCGGUGAGGAGUGCUUAUAAGCUUGCUGCGGCAAGUCUUCCCCAAUUGGCCCAGAACCCAUCGAGCUCGUCAAUGGAGCCAAAUGAUAGAAAUAUCUGGGACCUAAUUUGGAAGGCUAAAGUCCCUGCAAAAGUACGGAUAUUCGGUUGGAGAGUGGCCACUAAUACACUAGCCACCAAGGAAAAUAAGUGGAAAAGAACCAUCGACUUGGAGGCUACAGAGGCUAUGUUUUCAUUGCUGUCUGCAGAAAGCUUCCACGCUGCUACAGCGCGGAGGAAGCAGAGGCUCGCGCUGCCCUCGUUGGUUUGCAGUCAAUGGCGGACGUUUAUAAUGGUCAGGUAG